ACUUGUUCAGUGGAUGUUGAAUAUAUUUAUACCGGCAAAUGAACACAUUUCUAGCGGCAAAUGUGUUAAAUUAUAGCCAUGGUAUAAAAAGGAAUAAACAACUUGGGGAUCUAUGCGUUCUCUGGAAAAUAAUGCAACUCCGUGGAAGAGCUGAAAGGCGCUACUUUGGAGGUGAUGAAGUGACUGAGACUCGCAAUCACUCUUCUUUCUACAGGGGCCCAGCGGAGCUUGUAGCGACAAAACCGAAGGGGAGGAGAAUGGGACAGCCAAGAAAAUAAAAUACCCUUCAACGUGGAAAGGAGAGCUUCAGAAGAGAAGGAGAGUAAAUCGUACCUUGGCAGGAAAAAGAUGAUUGAGUUAACUAUGGCAAUUGAUAUCUGCCUCAUUCUUACCAGAAUACCUAACUUGAUGUUUAAUUCCAUGCUGAAAUGUGUCUGAUUUGCAUACUAGUAACAUGAUUGAUAGUGAAAUUUCAAUAAUGACUGUUAUACUGUUGUAAUACCUGAUCCUCCUUGAUAUUUCAUUCUGAGUAAAAAAUGAAGCAUCACACUUGGUGUAAAUCUUUUUAGUACAUAUUGAAAUUGUGAAAUUAUUCCAAUGUCUCGAGUACUGUUUACCUCUUUAUGAAAUUGAGCACAUUGAUGGAUAUUAAGUCAACUUUGAAUAAGACAGUAAUUGAAACUAUAGCCUACCUAUGCUGGAGGACAUCUACAAGAUGGU